ACGGGAGGCAGCAGUGGGGAAUAUUGGACAAUGGGCGCAAGCCUGAUCCAGCCAUGCCGCGUGAGUGAUGAAGGCCCUAGGGUUGUAAAGCUCUUUCACCGGAGAAGAUAAUGACGGUAUCCGGAGAAGAAGCCCCGGCUAACUUCGUGCCAGCAGCCGCGGUAAUACGAAGGGGGCUAGCGUUGUUCGGAAUUACUGGGCGUAAAGCGCACGUAGGCGGAUCGAUCAGU
rnacentral:rRNA from 1 species